AAUGUGAUAUUCCUGAGAGAAUACUGACUUAUCGUCACUUCAUCUCUGGGACAAGUAUUGAACAUAAGGGAAGCCUUAUAUAAAAUUGUUCAAUAAACAAAAGAUGUCUUUAACAUGUGUUUGAGAUCUUUCUUCUCAUGAUUCCAUGUUAGGUACAACAACUAUGACCGGGCUGUCAUCAAUACCGUUCCUUAUGAUGUCGUCCAUCGCUGGUAUACAGCACACCGGACGCUAACGAUAGAGUUGAGAAGACCUGAGAAUGAGUUUUGGGUCAAACUAAAGCCUGGCAGGGUCCUAUUUAUAGACAACUGGCGUGUCCUACAUGGCAGGGAAUGCUUCACUGGCUACCGCCAACUCUGUGGCUGCUAUUUAACAAGAGAUGAUGUAUUAAACACUGCUCGCCUCUUGGGGCUUCAGGCUUAAAAUUGACAGCAUCGGGAUUAUGAAUACACCUGGCACCCUGGCUACCAGAAUUUCAUAUGGGCAGAAUAAUAUUGUGUCAAACUCUACUUCAGAUUGUCUCCUUAAUCCAUCCCACAAAACAGAAUCUGUCCGUUUCUCUAGUAAGGGAGACUUGUUAGAGAGGGGGGACUCUGAGUUAUCUAACGUCAGACAUCUAGUGGGGCAGCUCUCUUCCUCAUGUUACAACAUGGAUCCACUUGUUUUAUUUAAACCUUUUAAUAUAAUUUUGGUCAGUCUCCUUCAGAAAUAUAAUCUCCAUAUUGAUAGGAAAGCAAUAAUUGCCAUGAGGUAAUGAUUUUUUUCCCACGUAGAUCAGUUAGAAAGAAAUGCAUUCUAGAAAUAACAAAAAUCCUGACAAAGCAACAAUUUGCAAAAUUUUUGGUCUUAGGACACCUUAACACUCUUAAAAGUUAUUGAAGGCCCCAAAGAGUUCUUGGGUGUGGGUUCUGUCUAUUGAUACUAAUUAUUUUAGGUAUUAAGAUUGAGAAAUAUUUAAAACUCAAGAAGAACACAGAAGCACACAUCCCUCAGCUAUCAGAGAGAUGACAUAACCAUAUGUCAUGUGGCCUCUGGAAAAGUCCUCUGUAUCCUCAUGAGAUAACGAGAGGGGGAAAAAAAGCUACUGUUGCCUUUGUAACUUCCACUUAGCCUACUACAGGGCUAUCCACAUCUUACUUUCCAAAAGUCUGCUUAAUUUCAAAAGAAAAAUGCCUAAUUGAAUGUAACUCAUCUUGGUGUUAUUAUACAAAAUAAUUUUUAAUCUGCAGACCCAGUAAAAGGGUCUCAGGGACUCCUCCAGGGGUCUUCAGACCAUACUUUGAGAACCCAUGGGCUAGCGACUACCUUGAGACAGUCCUUUACCUAGGCCUGUGGAUUAAAGGGUUUAGCUGAAACCCUAGAUUUUUCUCUAUAGUCUAAUAGAACUCCAAAGAUUGUAAGAAUUGCUUGGUAGCAUAAGCUCAGGGAUAAGGUGGGAAUUGAGUUCAAAUAUAGUGUUUUAUCUUCCACACAAAUCAUCUCUAUAGGAGUUAAAUUAGGAAGUCACAACAGCGCCUGUUGAACAAACUCAUCAGUGUGGUAAUCCUAUGAGGGAUAAUUGCAGAAAGGUUUUAGAGACUUGUGAGGUUCCAUAUGACAAUUCUUUACAACUCCCCCCCCCCACACACACCAAGAGAAAGUACACAGGGCUAUUCUGUAAUAUUGUUCAGGGAAAUCAGCAUGAUAGAUGCUGUGCCUCCAGAGAGUUCUCUGGAGAUGACUACCCAAAUGUGUAUUUUGGCAAUUUGGUGGUAUUUAGGAUGUAAUAUGUUUUCCUCCAUUUCUGCUAAUUUUCUCUCUCUCUCUCUCUCAUAACAUACUAUACAUGUUAAUUGCCAAGAUUUGAAUGAGUCAAAUUUAGUAGCUUGCUGCUUUUAUUUUUUUAAAUGGCUUCUUUUAUGUAUUGGGCGGGGCACAGGGUAUAAGGCUUCUUUUCCCUCAGCUUUCAUUGAAAGUGAAGCUGUACAAUAACCACAUUGACCACUGUAGAAUGAUGAAAGGGAAUAUAGGCUAGAAUGCACACCAGAUGGGGGAAAAGGCAUUAUUAGUGAAGAUAGAUAGGAGUUACAAAGCAAAGCAAAGUCAGUAUUCAGAUAGAGAAUAGAGCCUAAUCUGAUGUUUGCAGGGAGUUCCUUGAUCACAUUUGGCAAUUUACACAUUAUUUUAUUGACCUAUCCAGUGCUGCAAAAUGUGUUCCAAAAUAUUUUGGCAUUUUAUUUGUACUAUAUAGGAAUCUUUAGGGGAGUCCAUGAAAUUUGUUUUCCUCUUAGGUCAAAGGACUGAUAAUUAACUUUGGUUCUUAAGGAGUAUGACCUUUAGCAAUAAGAACAGAAAUAACAUUUUACCCUGCAGUUUUUUUCUCUAUACCUACUAUUAUGCACUCCUAAAAUAUGUCAUCAUUAGUCUUCAUGAGGAUGUUUACCAUUUUUGAAGUUUUGCGUAAAUUAGCCUUGAAGAUUACACUAUAACUGAGGUCAUCAGCAUUGAUUUAUGGCCAGCAAAGGACAUGCUCAUGGCCCUGGAAAGAUGAGGACACAAAACAAAUCAAUUUCCCCACUUACUGAAGGACUUCCCUUACCUUCUGUCUCUCCUGAGACCUUGACUCAUUAAUUAUUUUACUCUCCUUUUUGGAAAUUUGCAACCGGUCCUUCUCAACAAUGUACUCCCUUUAAGUACAUUGAAGAAAAAGAGAAGGGAAUUAUUUGAGUCUUGAUCACGAUGCAUUGAAAACUUCCUAUGUGAGAUGUUUCUGUUUUUACAUCUCUUCCAGGUGUCCCUGAGUAUAUAAGCAUGGGUCUAUGUCUACCGAGCUCACUGUAGAGUCACUUUUACCUUUUGCUAUGGUGGAAUGGGAUCUGUAGGGUCAGGAACACAGCACCUAACACAGUGCUUUAUGGAUAGUAGUUUUAUAAUACAGAUGUGUUGGAAGAAUAAAUGAAUGAGUCCUUUUCAAACAAAUUCACCAGAAGUUACCACAUUCUCUGUAUGUAUGUCCUUUUUCGUUUGGCAUUUAGCUGACACUGACUUUUGUUUGCUUUCAUCUACAGUGACCAACCAUCCUCUUGUGCCCAGAACUACAGGACUUUCCAUUUUAAAACGAGGAGAGUCACACACAAACCAGGACUGUUGGUCAGUCACUGUGCCUUCUUGCUGCUAGAUAUGUAAUUUUCUUUGGUUUUCAUCACUGGGUCCCAUCUCUUUGAAAGUGUUUGUAGGUCACAGACUGUGUAGUCCAUGAUGAAAAGAACAAAAGAUGUAUGAAUUAUGCUGUGUUGUGGUGGUUCCCAAAGUAGGGUCCCCAGACCACCAGCAGUGGCAUCAUUUGAGAACUCCUUAGAAAUGCAAAUUUUCAAGGCCCACCCCACGCCUACUAAGUAAGAAACUCUAGGCUUGGGUACCAGCAGUUUGUUUUAGCAAGUCCUCCACAGGAUUCUAACACAUGACAAAGUUUGAGAACUACUGACAGGAAGAGUCCUGCUGCUGAGUUCUAGGCCCAGUUCUGUCACUGGCUGACUAAAUGACUUGAGGCAUGUCCCGCUCCUAUUUUGAAUUUCAAUUUUUUCUUCUGUGAAAUGAAAGCCUUGGACUAGGCAGCGUCUAAAGGCUCUGUCACUCUGUAAUUGUGUGACUUUGGUAACUUUGUUUGACUUCUCCUUGCUUAAGUUUUCUCAUGUGGGUAUGGUAAGGAAAAUACCUACCUCACAGGAUUUUCUAACAAUUUUGUGAUUAUUAAGUAUAAUGACUGAUGACUAAUAUAUGACAGCCAACUCUUACACAGUGCUUUCUAUAUCCUGGACUGUUCUAAGUGCUUUUAAUCCCCGCAACAAUCCCAUCUCCAUUUUACAAAUGAAAAAUAGAGGUCACACGGCUAAUACGUGUCAGAGUUUGGAUUAAAACCCAGAAAAAUCUGUCCCCAGAGACAGUGAUUUUAACUAGCAUGCCCUUUUGCUCAAUAAAUGUUAAUUCCCUCACCCUUUCCACACACACACAGUCUAGCUGACCAUUCAUAGACAAUAAUCCCACUUUCACAGUCCAUCCAACAAGAUCUUAAAAGAACCAUGAGAAUCUCUAGGUUUCUUUUGCAAAUAGUUUUCAAGCAUUUAAAAAAAAAAGGUGGGGGGCAGGGAGGGAGUGGCCAAGAUGGCUGACUAGAAGCAGCUAGGGUGAGUGGUUCUCAUGGAGAGGAAAGAAAGGGGCGAGUAAAUACAGCGCCUUCAACUGAAACAUCCAGGUACCCGCAUUGGGUCUAAUCAAGGAAACAACUCGAUCCACAGAGAAUGAAGAAAAGCAAGGCAGGAUGACAGCCCACCCAGGAGCAACAUGGAGACAGAGGAACCUCCCCCACUCAGGCAAGUAGUAAGUGAAUGUGCGAUCCUGGGAAACCGCGCUUCUCCCAUGGAUCCUUGCAACCUUUGGGUCAGGAGAUCCUCUGGUGAACCCACUCCACCAGGGCCUUCAGUCUGACACACAGAGAUACAUGGAGUCUCAGCAGAGCAGCCGCUUGAGCACGUGCAGAGACCCAGCAGCUUUACAUACUCCAGCCCUGGGUUUCCCAGCAAAAGUAACUGCAACUCCUGCAAAGCAGGAGAUUAGACCCCUGCACAUACCCCUAGGAAAGAGGCUGAAUCCAGGGGGCCAAGCAGCAAUGAUCUGCGGGCCCCACUUCCACUGCACCUCACAGGAUAAGACCCGCUGGUUUGGAAUUCCAGCCAGCCACCAGCAGCAGUGUUGCACCUACCUGCGACGGAGGUCCCAGGGGGAGGGGCAGGCUGCUCUCUGGGACAGAGCUCCCAGAAGUGGCACCCCAGAACAGCACAGCACAGCUGCUCUUCAGAAGCAUGGCCAGACUGCUUCUUUAAGCAGGUGCCCAAUCUGUUCCUCCUCACUGGAUGGGACUUUUCAACCAAGGCCUCCAGCAACCACUGGUGUUCUCUGGCUGACAGAGAUUUGAAUUCUCCCUGGGACAGAGCUCCAGGAGGGAGGGAGGGACCACCAUCUUUGCUGUUUGGGCGACUUAGCUGUUCCGGCCUCCAGGCUUUGGAGAGCCCACACCAACCAGGGGUGGAAGCAGUGCCCCAGCACAGCACAGCUGAUCUGUGAAAGCAUGGACAGACUGCUUCUUUAAGCAGUUCCCUGAUCCCAUUCCUCCUGAUUGGGUGAGACCUCCCAACCAGGGUCUCCAGCCUUGUCCUGCAGGCGCGUUUGGGCUGGCAACAGGUCUGUACCUCGCCGGGCCAGAGCUCCCAGAGGAAGAGGCAGGCUGACAUCUUUGCUGUUUCACAGCCUUCACUGGUGAUAGCUCCAGAUACUGGAAAAUCCAAGGCGACUAGGAACUGGAGAAGAAGCCCAGCAAAGUACUGCAGCCCUACAGAAACAUGGCCAGACUGUUAAAAGAAAAAAAAAAAAUCCAAAGGUCAGCAACCUCAAAGACUGAAGGUAGAUAAGCCCACAAAGAUGAGAAAGAAUCAGUGCAAGAACGCUGAAAACUCAAGAAGCCAGAGUGCCCUCUUUCCUUCAAAUGACUGCAUCACCUCUCUAGCAAGGGUUCGGAAUUGGGCUGAGGCUGAGACGGCUGAAAUAACAUAAGUAGAAUUCAGAAUAUGGAUAGGAAUGAACUUCACUGAGUUAAAAGAGUACAUUGUAACCCAAUGCAAGCAAGCUAAAAAUCAUGAUAAAACAUUGCAGGAGCUGACAGACAAAAUAGCCCAUAUAGAGAAGAAUGUAACCAACCUGACCGAACUGAAAAAACACACUACAAGAAUUUCAUAAUGCAAUCACAAGUACUAAUAGCAGAAUAGACAAAGCGGAGGAAAGAAUUUCAGAGCUUGAAGACUGGCUUUCUGAAAUAAGACUGGAAGACAAGAAUAGAGAAAAAAGAAUGAAAAGCAAUGAAGAAAACCUCCGAGAAAUACGGGAUCAUGUAAAGAGAGUGAAUCUAAGACUGAUUGGUGUCCCUGAAAGAGAUGGGGAAAACGGAACCAAUUUGGAAAACAUAUUUCAGGAUAUAAUCUAUGAGAAAUUCCCUAACCUAGCUAGAGAGGCCAACAUUCAAAUUCAGGAAAUCCAGAGAACUCCAGGAAGAUACUCCACGAAAGGAACAUCCCCAACACACAUAAUCAUCAGAUUCUCCAAGGUUGAAACGAAAGAAAAAAUGUUAAAGGCAGCUAGAGAGAAAGGCCAGGUCACCUACAAAGGGAAGCCCUUCAGACUAACAGUGGAUGUCUCAGGGGAAAACCUACAAGCCAGAAGAGAUUGGGGGUCAAUACUCAACAUUCUUAAAGAAACUCCAACCCAGAAUUUCAUAUCUGGCCAAAGUAAGCUUCAUAAGUGAAGAAGAAAUAAGAUCAUUUUCAGACAAGCAAAUGUUGAGGGAAUUUGUUACCACCAGGCCUGCCCUACAAGAGCUCCUGAAGGAAGCACUAAAUGUAGAAAGGAAAGACGGUUACCAGCCACUCCAAAAACACACUGAAGUACUCAGACCAGUGACACUACAGAGCAAACAUGUAAGCAAGUCUGCAAAAUAACCAGCUAGCAUCAUGAUGAAAGGAUCAAAUCCAAACAUACCAAUACUAACCUUAAAUGUAAAUGGGCUAAAUGCCCCAAUUAAAAGACACAGAGUAGCAAGCUGGAUAAGGAACUAAGAUCCAAUGGUAUGCUGUCUUCAAGAGAACCAUCUCACAUGCAAUGACACACAUAGGCUCAAAAUAAAAAGAUGGAUGAAAAUCUACCAAGCAAACGGAAAACAUAAAAAAGCAGCAGUUGCAAUCCUAGUUUCUGACAAAACAGACUUUAAAUCAACAAAGGUCAAAAAACACAAAGAAGGGCAUUACAUAAUGGUAAAUGGUUCAAUUCAACAAGAAAAUCUAACUAUCCUAAAUACAUAUGGACCCAACACAGGAGCACCCAGAUUUAUAAAGCAAGUUCUUAGAGGCCUUCACAGAGACUUAGACUGCCACACAAUGAUAGUGGGAGACUUUUUAACACCCCACUGACAAUAUUAGACAGAUCAUUGAGACAGACAAUUAACAAAGAUAUUCAGGACCUGAACUCAGCACUGGAUCAAAUGGACCUGGUGGAUAUCUACAGAACUCUCCACCCCAAAACAACAGAAUAUACAUUCUUCUGAUCACCGCGUGGCACUUACUCUAAAAUCGACCACAUAAUCAGAAGUAAAACACUCCUCAACAAAUGCAAAAGAACUGAAAUCAUGACAAACAGUCUCUUGGGCCACAGAAGAAUCAAAUUUGAAAUCAAGAUUAAGAAAUUCACUCAAAACCAUGCAAUUACAUGGAAAUUGAAUAACCUGCUCCUGAAUGACUUUUGGGUAAACAAUGAAAUUUAGGCGGAAAUCAAGAAGUUCUAUGAAACUAAUGAGAACAAAGACACAAAGUACCAGAAUCUCUGGGAUACAGCAAAGGCAGUGUUAAGAAGGAAAUUUAUAGCACUAAAUGCCCACAUCAAAAAGUUAGAAAGAUCUCAAGUUAAUAACCUAACAUCACUACUAAAAGAACUAGAGAAACGAGAGCAAACAAAUCCCAAAACUAGCAGAAGACAAGAAAUAACAAAAAUCAGAGCUGAACUGAAGGAGACAGAGACAUGAAAAACCCUUCAAAAAAUGAAAGAAUCCAGAAGCUGUUUUUUGUUCUUUGAAAAAAAGUAAUAAAAUAGACAGACCACUAGCUAGACAAAUAAAGAAGGAAAGAGAGAAGAUCUGAAUAAACACAAUCAGAAAUGAUAAGGGGAAUAUUUACCACUGACCCCACAGAAAUACAAACAACCAUCAGAGAAUAUUGUGAACACCUCUGUGCACAUAAACUAGGAAGUCUAGAAGAAAUGGACAAAUUCCUGGACACACACACCUCCCCAAGGCUGAACCAGGAAGAAACUGAAUCCCUGAACAGACCAGUAAUGAGUUCGGAAAUUGAGGCAGUAAUAAAUAGCCUACCAACCAAAAAAAUCCCAGGACCAGAUGGAUUCACAGCUGAAUUCUACCAGAUGUACAAAGAGGAACUGGUAGCAUUCCUACUGAAACUAUUUCAAGAAAUUGAGAAGGAGGGACUCCUCCCUAACUCAUUCUAUGAGGCCAGCAUCAUCUUGAAACCAAAACCUGGCAGAGAUACAACAACAAAAGAAAACUUCAGGCCAGUAUCCUUCAUGAACAUCAAUGCAAAAUCCUCAACAAAAUGCUGGCAAACUGAAUCCAGCAGCACAUCAAAAAGCUUAUCCACCACGAUCAAGUUGGCUUCAUCCCCGGGAUGCAAGGUUGGUUCAACAUAGGCAGAUCAAUAAAUGUGACUCAUCACAUAAACAGAACUAAAGACAAAAACCACAUGAUUAUCUCAAUAGACGCAGAAAAGGCUUUUGAUAAAAUUCAACAUCCCUUCAUGUUAAAAACUCUCAAUAAACUACGUAUUGAAGGACCAUGCCUCAAAAUAAUAAGAGCCAUCUGUGACAAACGCACAGCCAACAUCAUACUGAAUGGACAACAGCUGGAAGCAUUCCCCUUGAAAACCGGCACAAGACAAGGAUGCCCUCUCUCACCACUCCUAUCCAACAUAGUAUUGGAAGUUCUGGCCAGGGCAAUCAGGCAAGAGAAAGAAAUAAAGGGCAUCCAAGUUGGAAGAGAGGAAGUCAACCUAUCCCUGCUUGCAGAUGACAUGAUCCUAUAUCUAGAAAACCCCGUUGUCUCAGCCCAAAGGCUUCUUAAGCUGAUAAACAACUUCAGCAAAGUCUCAGAGUACAGAAUCAAUGUGCAAAAAUCACUAGCAUUCCUAUACACCAGCAACAGUAAAGCCAAGAGCCAAAUCAGCAAUGAACUCCCAUUCACAAUUGCUACAAAAAGAAUAAAAUACCUAGGAAUACAGCUAACUAGGGAGGUGAAAGAUCUCUACAAGGAGAACUACAAACCACUGCUCAAAGAAAUCGGAGAUGACACACAAAAAAAUGGAAAAACAUUCCAUGCUCACGGAUAGGAAGAAUCAGUAUUAAAAUGGGCAUACUGCCCAAAGCAAUUUAUAGAUUCAAUGCUAUUCCCAUGAAACUACCAUUGACAGUCUUCACAGAACAAGAAAAAAAAAAAACUAUUUUAAAAUUCAUAUGGAACCAAAAAAAAAAAAAAAAAAAGCCUCAAUAGCAAAGGCAAUCCUAAGCAAAAAGGACAAAGCUGGAGGCAUCAUGCUACCUGACUUCAAACUAUACUACAAGGCUACAGUAACCCAAACAGCACGGUACUGGUACAAGAACAGACACAUAGACAAAUGGAACAGAAUAGAGAACCCAGAAAUGAGACCACACACCUACAACUAUCUGAUCUUCAACAAACCUGACAAAAACAAGCGAUGGGGAAAGGAUUCCCGGUUCAAUAAAUGGUGCUGGGAUAACUGGCUAGCCAUAUGCAGAAGAUUAAAACCGGCUCCCUUGCUUACACUAUAUACAAAGAUUAACUCAAGAUGGAUUAAAGACUGAAAUGUAAAACCCCCAACUAUGAAAACUCUGAAGGACCACUUAGGCAAUACCAUUCAGGGCAUAGGCAUGAGCAAAGAUUUCAUGAUGAAGAUGCCAAAAGCAAUUGUGACAAAAGCAAAAAAUUGACAAAUGGGGUCUAAUAAACCUAAAGAGCUGUGCACAGUGAAAGAAACUAUCAACAGAAUAAACAGACAACCUACAGAAUGGGAGAAAAUAUUUGCAAACUAUGCAUCUGACAAAGGUCUAAUAUCCAGCAUCUAUAAGGAACUUAAACAAAUUUACAGGAAAACAAACAACCCCAUAAAAAAGUGGGAAAAGGACAUGAACAGACACUUUUCAAAAGGAGACAUACAUGUGGCCAACAAUCAUAUGAAAAAAAAAAGGUCAACAUCACUGAUCAUUAGAGAAAUGCAAAUCAAAACCACAAUGAGAUACCAACUAAUAUUAGCCAAAAUGGCCAUUAUUAAAAAGUCAAAAAAUAACAGAUGCUGGCGAGGCUGUGGAGAAAAAGGAAUGCUUAUACACUGUUUGUGGGAUUGUAAACAAGUUCAGCCACUGUGGAAGACAGUGUGGUGAUUCCUCAAAGACCUAAAGACAGAAAUACCAUUCAACCCAGCAAUCCCAUUACUGGGUCUACACCCAAAGGACUAAAAAUCAUUCUGUUACAAAGACACAUGCAUGUGUAUGUUCACUGCAGCACUACUCACAAUAGCAAAGACAUGGAAUCAGCCUAAAUCCCCAACAGUGACAGACUGGAGAAAGAUAAUGUGGUACAUAUACACCAUGGAAUACUAUGCAGCCAUAAAAAGAAUGAGAUAAUGUCCUUCGCAGGGACAUGGAUGGAGCUCGAGGCCCUUAUCCUUAGCAGACCAACACAGGAACAGAAAACCAAAUACUGCAUGUUCUCACUUAUAAGUGAGAGUUAAAUGAUGAGAACAUAUGGACACAUAGAGGGGAACAACACACACUGGGGCUUUUUGGAGGAUAGAGGGUGUGAGGAGGGAGAGGAUCAAGAAAAACAACUAAUGGGUACUAAGCUUAAUACCUGGGUGAUGAAAUAAUCUAUGCAACAAAUCCCCUACGACACAAGUUUACCUAUGUAACAAACCUGCACUUGUACCCCUGAACUUAAAAGUUUAAAAAAAAAAAAAAGGAUUUAGUGGCUAAUAAACUCUAAAUAAAGCAUUUCAAACUUAAAAACAAAAUCCGGCCAGGUGCCGUGGCUCACGCCUGUAAUCCCAGCACUUUCGGAGGCCAAGGCAGGAGGAUCGCUUGAGGUCAGGAGUUUGAAACCAGCCUGAGCAGCAAAGCGAGACCCCGUUUCUACAAAAAAAAAUGGAAUUAAAAGAAAAAUUAGUUGGGUGGAGUCAUGAGUGCCUGCAGUCCCAGCUACUCGGGAAGCUGAGGUGGGAGGAUCUCUUGAGCCCAGCAGUUCAAGGCUACUGUGAGCUAUGAUCACGCCACUGCAAUCCAGCCUGGGUAACAGAGCAAGACCAUGUCUCAAAAAAAAAAAAAAAAAAUCAUCAUUUCUAAUUUUGCCUCUUCCAAGAAUGGAAGGGAAUUAACCUAUUCAGUACUUUUUUUUCUCUUGCAAAAUACCAGUCAGUUGUUAGGCUCAAAACCCUUUGAUAGAACAUAUCCAUAUCACUGGCCCCAGGGUGCUCUUGGGCAUAUUGGAAAUCCACUCACUUAGCUCAGCUGUGGAUUAGCUCAACUCUUAGUUACGAGGCCAGAACAUGUCUGCAUCUUCGCCUCCCUAAGCCUGCAGCUCAUCAGAAACAAAGACCCUGGCAGAGUUUGGCGGUAGUUCUUUUUUGUCAGACUUACAGUCAGGGGUUGGUGGGUUUGUGGGUAGCUCCAUUCUAGUCCUUGGCUUUAAUCUGUGAGUAUGGCUUUUGUCUUCCAUCUUGCUCAGGGUACUUUGGAACCGCUAUACAUUGCAGGAGCUUAGCUUCUGGCUACCAUGGUUUGCUUCCAGAGCAACAAGCAUAGUACUUCAACAUGGAGACAACUGUCUUUUGUUUUUGUUUUGUUUUGUUUGUUUUGUCUUGGCCAUGCCUUUUUGAGUUUACCUUUUUAUAUUUUGCCCAUCAUUGCCAUGUGUUUGGAGCAGUGGGCGUUCCAUAACAUGAACUCACUGUACCAUCAUGAAUGGGAAGUCAGGGGAAACCUUUUCCAUGUGGAUUUUACUCUUCCCUGAUUCCCUAAAUUGGGUUUGCAAAAUACUACUGUGCACUUUCUUGAUGAUUCGGGCUUAUCUUUAUGACUCUGUUUUUGUGUCAGACUGUAAAGAAGUAUAAAAGUCUUUAGCUUGAUUAAUGCAAUCCAUGCUUCCUUUCUGGAAAAAAGGGGGGGGGGCAUUUUUUACAGUUGCAAUAAAUCAUCUUAAGCCAUGUUGGCGUAUAUCAUAUAGAUUAGCGGUGGUGUUCUAGCUUGCUUUCUGUGUGGGCAGACAGGCACGGUAAUUUAUCCCCUGCACAACUAAAGAUCACAAGGGCUAAUGCUGUGUAAACCUGUGAAGUCAGUGAAGGUUUUUCUCUGUUAGCCCCAUCUUUCUCCAUGGUCUACCCACUGAUGGUGGCCACUCCCUCCAAUUCAGGUACUCCCUCCAAUUCAGGUACUCCCUCUCACCAUCUGCUUUCUAACUUCCUCUCUGAUGCCCUGACUGAGGCAGUGUCAUGUCACAGGAAGAGCACAAACUUGGAAUGAUCUGGGCUUGAAUUCCGUCUCUGACUUUUACUAGCCUGGGAAAUUUUGGGAAGUUGCUUUCCUUCCUUGAGCCUGUGUUCCCACAUAUGCAAAGUGGGGCUAAUAAAUGCCAGCCACCUGGAAAAUCUAUGAUGAAGAAUGAAUCUAUACAUGUGUAUAAAGUGUGAGCAGCACAUAAAAAACACUCAGUACAUAGUAGUUUAUCAUUGUUGACAAUAUCACUAUUUGAGAGAAGAGGAGGAAUCAGGGCUAGGCUGUGUGUUUGACAGGAAUCAACAUUCUACUUAGGGGGAAGCAGCAAAUUUAUGACAGGCAGAAUUGGAAAAGUAUGUGAAAAUGUUAGGGGUCAGAGAGAGUAGGCAAGUUGUGAAGCACAGAUAUAUUGGCAAGACAUCUGAACUUCUAGGCCUGAGGCUUCCUGGAUAGGAAGUUGGUUUGGGGUUUUGGCAGUCUGAAGGCUGAGAGCUGAAAGAACAGAAUGGUCAGGGAACAGGUCAGAGAGCCAGAUGAGAAAAGCUGAGUCUGGAGAGUUUUAAGGAGAGUGGCGUGGUAACGAAGGUGUGUAGAAUCCAUGAGACAGGCAGGCAGACACCCAUGCUCGUGAUGAUGCAUAGUUAAGGUGGAGCACAUACUUCCACAUCUAACUUUACCAUCUCCCAAAACCCCACUGGAACUGCUACAAAUGUGAUUUUUGAAAGGAUUAGAAGGAUAGGAGUGAAGAUGAAAUAAAAAGGGUUGAAGAACAGGAAAGGAGGCAACAACUAAAUUUUGGAUGCUGAAGAACAGACGGAUGAGUAGCAACUGACUUAGCAGAGCCAAGAAGGCCACAAACUAGGAAUUCUGAGACCUUAGUGGGAAAAGCAAAAAGCUAACUUGAUUUACUCCCCACCCCCAGGAAUCUUCAAAGGCUGGACCAGGGUAACUCUGGAAGUGGAGUUACCUCUGGAAGUGAAGGGGGGUGGGUAUCAAAAUAAUGAAGGCUGUUUGAAAACUCUUUUAAGAAGUAGAUUCAUUGCCAAAUCCCCUCCUGUUGUCAAUGCCAGUGAGGGGCUGACCCUUCCCUGCUCUGACAGAAGCCUGGAGUGUUAUUCCCUGGAGAGGGUAAAGCAGAGGGUCUCUGGAUGGGGAUUUCCCAGACUUAGUUGAGGGCUGGGGUCCUGUACUGAAAACAGGGGUGUUGAGUGGAAGCAUGUGUCCUGAAAGCUGUGAACUCCCAGUCUUCUUCCCUGCCCCUGCCCCUGCCCCUAAACUUCUGGCAGCUGGAAGAGUCUUCUGUGAGCCAUCUGACCAACCUAAGAGAAAAAGAUCUAAGGAGACUGACACUGAAGGCUCCCCAGUAAAGGGCUCACUCAGCUGGGUUACUCCCCAAUGAGGUACAUAGCUUGAUACUGUGAGGAAGAAGACACCCAUUCAAUUGAGGGUACUUAUUUUUGGAAUAGGAGGAGAGACCUGAGCAUUUUAGUUACUGCAAGGAAAGGAGCCAGGCAGAGAAGAUGGAGAGAUUAGAGAUUCUUGAGAGAAGGGGUAAUUGAUGGAGUGAGGCACCUGGGGAGGCAGGAUGGGAUGGAACCCAGAGCAGGAGUGGAAGUGACAGCCUGAGUCAGAAGAAAGAACCUUCAUCUUUCACUGAGAUAGGAUGAAAAGAAAUGAGAUCUGGUUAUAGACUCAAUUCGAUCCAUUAUUAUUUUGCAGCUACUAUAUCCAAGGCGUUGUGUGGGGUAGUGUUCAUUCAUCCAUCCACUCAUUCAUCCAACAUUUUUUGGAGCAACUACUGUGUUCCAGGCACUGUGCGGGGUGCUGGAGAUACCGAGAUGAAUCAGACAAGGUUCCAGUCCUCAAGGAGCUCACAGUCACAGGGCGAAAGCAGGCUCACAACACAGGGCAAUAUGUGCUGUGAAAACUGAGCACAGGGGGCUGUGAGAACACGGAGCAAGGGACACUGUAGAGAAGGGAAUGAAGCAGGUAUGGAAAUGGAUAUAGAACAAGACAUGGACUGCUCUGUGCAUUCAAGGGCAGAGAGAUCUCAUCCAGCAGGGCCCAUCUGCAGAGGUUUCAUGAAGUUAGGUGGUCUUUGAGUUGAAACCGAGAGGAUGCCUAGGGUUUCUUUCAACCUGCAGUGACGUGGGGGUGGGGAAGGGGUGCCCACCAAGAGGUGAAAACAGAUGCAAAGAUCCAGAGGCAAGAAAUUGCAGGAGGACAUGUUCAGGGUAGAGGGAGAGGCCCUGGUUGAGCACCUGAGAAGCCCCGGUUGAGAGUAUGCUGAGGCAAGUAGUAGGAGGUGCAGUUGCGAAGCAGGAAUAGGAUGAGAUGCAAAAAAUAUCAUCACAAAAUGCAACCGGGUUGAACAAAUGGAUUGUGUAAAAAACACCAGACUGUGAAAUGAGAAACCCGAUUCUGUUUUAGGCCCAGCUCUGAAACAAACUUGCUUUUGAUGUGGUAUGUAGUGACUCAGUUAACGUCUCUGAACAUUGGUUUCUUCAUCCAUCAAGUGGUAGCAGGAACACCUGUCCUGCCUAUCUCAUUGGGGUUCUCGUGAGGAGCAUAUGAGUCAGUGUACAAGAAAACACCUUUUUUUUAAAAACAGAAACAAAAACAAAAAAAAAACUCUUUAAAGUGCCGGUGCACACACGUAAAGGCUUAUUAUUGAGGAGACGCUUGUGCUGGGAACACAACCCUAACCCUAACCCCUAACCCUAACCAGGGGAGCAAAUGUACCGAAAUAUUCUCCUAAAAGGAUCCAACAACAUUCCGAAACUAGUUGUUAGGUAACAUGGGGAGCGAAUCAACUCCUGUUAAUUUGGAAUGUCUAUAUGUCAAAUUUACAUACAAUAAAAAUAGAUUUGUACUA